AAGUCGUAACAAGGUUUCCGUAGGUGAACCUGCGGAAGGAUCAUUAUGAAUUGUGUUGUUUUGACUCUUUUUAAAAAAGAGUCUCAACUCCUUUUCUGUGAACUGGAUUCUUUUUGUGCGCUUUGCUCUUAUGAGUGUGAGUGUUGCAAAUCGAAUUGCUUUUAUUUGUUUUCUGUUGUCAUUGUUCUUAAAAAGUUUUCUUUUUUUAAUCAAAAGACAACUUUCAGCAAUGGAUCUCUUGGCUCUU
rnacentral:misc_RNA from 1 species